rnacentral:ncRNA from 1 species
GGUAAUACGAUGAUGGGAAAUAGUAACAAGCGCGUUUUUUUUAGAGAGCCAGCGGGUGGUGGAAGCUGGUAAAGACACUUGUGAAUCCGUCCUUGAGUUGCCUGGCUGAAUGUUUUAGUAGGCUUGGGCCGGUUGAAAAGCCGUUAUUCGAUAAGUGGAGCAGGCAAGGCAGCCUGUUCAAUUAGGGUGGCAACGCGGGUAGCUCUCGUCCCUUUU